UACGUAGGGGCGAGCGUUAUCCGGAAUUAUUGGGCGUAAAGAGUGCGUAGGUGGUUUCUUAAGUCAGAGGUGAAAGGCUACGGCUCAACCGUAGUAAGCCUUUGAAACUGGGAAACUUGAGUGCAGGAGAGGAGAGUGGAAUUCCUAGUGUAGCGGUGAAAUGCGUAGAUAUUAGGAGGAACACCAGUUGCGAAGGCGGCUCUCUGGACUGUAACUGACACUGAGGCACGAAAGCGUGGGGAGCAAACAGGAUUAGAUACCCUGGUAGUCCCUGA
rnacentral:rRNA from 1 species